rnacentral:rRNA from 1 species
AUGGCCUGCUACCCCCGCAACCCUCUCCCGCACCACCCCCCUGGCACCACUGUCAUCCCACCUGGUCUGCUUCGUGCUCGCCGCGGCUAUGUCGUCGUCGGCGGUGAACUCCCUAUGGUCUGCGACGAAUGGGCCAUCGCUAUGCUCAUCCCCGAGGUUUCUGCGGAGGAAUUCCAUGGUGCCAUCGCCCUCAUCACCAACUACCUUGAAGGUCGGGGAUGGCGCAUCAACUACACCUCGCGUUGUGGUAUGGACACAUCAUUGAUUUAGUUUACCACUGCAUGUUCUAGAGAUACUGCUGUUAGUAGCAGUCCUUUUCAGAUCGGUGACUCUUUUUUGAGGCUUAGUAGGCAAGAUUGAGGUCUGAACUAUCUUAGCAUUACUUCUACCCAUGAUGUUUGGAUCAUGCUCAUGAAUUACCCAUUGGAAUGUUGGGAUGUUGCUGUGAUUAGUCGCACUGUUGCUCCAUAUGGAAGGUUUCUAAUUUGGAAUAAGGACCCUAGAGACAAAACCAGAGUUAUUGUUAAGCUCAGAGUAAUGAAUGUUGACAUCAUACCAAUCAGUUUAGUUGUGCUUCGUAACUUAGAUGAUGUGGGUUUUGGUGAUUCAUGGACAUGCCCUACCUACAUUCUGUCACGCGAACUCAUUGGGCAGCACGGAGGAGAUGAAGAUCCUCUUCCACCUGAUGGUGGUAAUCCAGACCCCUUGCCACAUGUUCAUGGUGGGUUCUGGCACGAUGAGGUACUUGGCAAUAUUCCUAUGGAUCAGGUUGUCAUAAACCCUCACAAUGCUGGACUUGGGGAACCCUAUGAGAAUGUGCAUGCUCCCAAUAAUGCUAAUGUGGAUCUCAAUGCUGAAUUGCCAGGAAAUGUUGUUGAUCUGAAUAUAAACAAUAGCGCUGAAACUCUUGUCAUUGCUGAGGAUGAAGGAAAUAUGCCCUAG